UUAGCGGCGGACGGGUGAGUAACACGUGGGCAACCUGCCUGUAAGACUGGGAUAACUUCGGGAAACCGGAGCUAAUACCGGAUAAUAUAUAGUACCUCCUGGUACUAUAUUGAAAGAUGGUUUCGGCUAUCACUUACAGAUGGGCCCGCGGCGCAUUAGCUAGUUGGUGAGGUAACGGCUCACCAAGGCAACGAUGCGUAGCCGACCUGAGAGGGUGAUCGGCCACACUGGGACUGAGACACGGCCCAGACUCCUACGGGAGGCAGCAGUAGGGAAUCUUCCACAAUGGACGAAAGUCUGAUGGAGCAACGCCGCGUGAGCGAUGAAGGCCUUCGGGUCGUAAAGCUCUGUUGUUAGGGAAGAACAAGUGCGAGAGUAACUGCUCGCACCUUGACGGUACCUAACCAGAAAGCCACGGCUAACUACGUGCCAGCAGCCGCGGUAAUACGUAGGUGGCAAGCGUUGUCCGGAAUUAUUGGGCGUAAAGCGCGCGCAGGCGGUUUCUUAAGUCUGAUGUGAAAGCCCACGGCUCAACCGUGGAGGGUCAUUGGAAACUGGGAGACUUGAGUGCAGAAGAGGAGAGUGGAAUUCCACGUGUAGCGGUGAAAUGCGUAGAGAUGUGGAGGAACACCAGUGGCGAAGGCGACUCUCUGGUCUGUAACUGACGCUGAGGCGCGAAAGCGUGGGGAGCAAACAGGAUUAGAUACCCUGGUAGUCCACGCCGUAAACGAUGAGUGCUAAGUGUUAGAGGGUUUCCGCCCUUUAGUGCUGCAGCUAACGCAUUAAGCACUCCGCCUGGGGAGUACGGGUCGCAAGACUGAAACUCAAAGGAAUUGACGGGGGCCCGCACAAGCGGUGGGAGCAUGGUGGUUUAAUUCGAAGCAACGCGGAAGAACCUUACCAGGUCUUGACAUCCUCUGCCA
rnacentral:rRNA from 1 species